GAAGUUGAGAGCGAAGAGCUCACAGUAUGUGGCGAAAUGUCUUGCAGAGGUGAGAGGGGUCUGUGAAGGCAAAGGUGGUAACCCAUAACAACAGAUAGAACACUGAUGAUAACUUUUCUGGGCAUUUUGCCUAACAACGAUGUGAAAGAAGCUGUCACAUAAUUCAGAGGGCCUCUGUACCACCCAGGGCCUGGAGCACAGUGGCUGCCCAGCCACCACUUGAUGGAUGAGUGAUGAGCACUGAAAUUCUACUGUUAUAAUUCUUAAUGCAGAUGUUUCAGGGAGGUGAUAGUGACGUAUCAGUUUAUUAGGUGGUUUCCGUUUUGACGGUCCAGGAGCACAUCCUAAUCUGGGACAGAAGAUUUGAGUCUGGACUCUUGGAGGAACCUGAGGCUCAGAGCGGCACAGUGGUGGGCCUAAGUCACACAGCUGGAAACAAAGUCAGUGCUGGCUUGUUCACAGCAUGGUUCAGCACCAGUGGAUCCAAAACUGUGCAAAGUGUUGACUCUUUAGCUCCUGAAAUUCUAGACCUGGGGGCAUUUUAGGGAUUCUCUUGUUCAACCUCUUCCCUUGAUGAGGAGGGAAGCAAAAAAACAGAGACCCAGGGUAUCUUGACCUCUGGGUGAUCGCAGAGACUCAUUCUGAAACAACUCUGAAGCCCAGGUUCCUGCUGUUUGCUAAUGACCACACACUUGAGCUACCUGGAUGGCUGCCAUGACACGGCCUUCCACGACAGAGCUCCUGAAGAGGCUCCAAGCCCGCCACCAUUUUCAAAAACGGAAAAUUUUCAGCAGCCACACCUGCUGGGAAGUGGAGUCUAUUUUGUGCUGGAAGCCACUUUAUUUACCAUGCCUAACCUUGGUCUACAUCAGAGAACAUUCUUAAGGAUCUAAAGACAUGCAGGUCAAAUCUUGUUACAGCCAGGACCUGGGGCAAUGUGUGGUGGGGUUGGGGGGAGGGCAUAGUCGUGCUUCCUUAUGUCAAGUAUUUCCAGGCGUAAGUGGCCUGGGGCUUGGAAAUAUUUUUGACAUAGUGUGCUUUUUGUUGCUUAUGGGACUCAAUGUUUUUUUCGGUAAGUAUCAGCA
ensembl:lncRNA